rnacentral:tRNA from 1 species
ACGAUCGUAGCUCAGUUGGUUAGAGCACCACCUUGACAUGGUGGGGGUCGGUGGUUCGAGUCCACUCGGUCGUACCA